rnacentral:rRNA from 1 species
AUGUACCAAAAGUACAUUGCCGAGUUGGACACGAUUACGCCUGAGCAGGUGGAAUGGCAGCCAUAUGGCGCCGAUGACAGGCUUGGGUACACCCCGGAGUUUUCCAUCAACCCGAUGUGCUUGCGGGAUAGGGAUCUCUGGCUUAUGCGGUGCCCACUGAUAUGCAACUGGGCUGUUGAGUUUCAUUUGCCACAUCGCAUGUUUCGUCAGUUUGGUCUGUUCCAGCCUCACCCGCCGGAAUGGGUGGAUACGGACAAAGCACUUCAUAGGUUGGACAGGAGAAGGCAGCGGAAGAUAAAGGACUGGGACAAGCAUCAUGCUUCGUAUGUUACCCGCUUCCAGCUUUGCGUGGAGCAAGCUUGUAGCAGUGCACGCGCCCAGCUUCGUGAGCAUAACCCACUUGCUUUUGAUAACUACAUACGAUGGCUUCUUGAAAAUACUCGAGUUGAGAUAUGCCUGCCGGCAUAUAAUGAGGAUAUUCUUGAAGAACCCGUGAACUUUGAGGAUCUAUCAAAGGGGAAGUACAAAAGAGAUGUCAGGGUAGGGCAAGGAGUCCCUGCUGUUCCGGUGAUUAAC